UACAGAGGUCCCAAGCGUUGUUCGGAUUCAUUGGGCGUAAAGGGUGCGUAGGCGGCGCGGUAAGUCGGGUGUGAAAUCUCGGGGCUCAACCCCGGAACUGCAUUCGAAACUGCCUUGCUCGAGUACUGGAGAGGAGACUGGAAUUUACGGUGUAGCAGUGAAAUGCGUAGAUAUCGUAAGGAAGACCAGUGGCGAAGGCGAGUCUCUGGACAGUUACUGACACUGAGGCACGAAGGCCAGGGAGCAAACGGG
rnacentral:rRNA from 1 species